rnacentral:rRNA from 1 species
CCUACGGGGGGCAUCAGUGGGGGAUAUUGCACAAUGGGCGAAAGCCUGAUGCAGCAACGCCGCGUGAGGGAAGACGGUUUUCGGAUUGUAAACCUCUGUCUUCGGUGAAGAAACAAAUGACGGUAGCCGAGGAGGAAGCCACGGCUAACUACGUGCAAGCAGCCGCGGCAAUACGUAGGUGGCAAGCGUUGUCCGGAAUUACUGGGUGUAAAGGGAGCGCAGGCGGGGAGACAAGUCAGCUGUGAAAACUAUGGGCUUAACGCAUAAACGGCAGUUGAAACUGUUUGUCUUGA